AUGUUGCGUGGUGUUCUUGCUGAGCAGGGUACUCUUGCCCAGUUCUCUUGUCCUGGUGCUCAUGCUCAGAAUGGCGUGUCUGAGCGCAAGCAUCGUCACCUUCUUGAGACGGCUCGUGCUAUGAUGAUCGCCGCCUCUCUUCCGCCUCAUUUUUGGGCCGAGGCUAUCUCCACUUCCGCCUAUCUCAUCAACCUUCAGCCGUCCGCUGCUUUGCAGGGUGGUGUUCCUUUUGAGCGUCUUUUUGAUCGUUCUCCCGAUUAUUCGAUGCUUCGCUUGUUUGGUUGUGUUUGCUAUGUUCUUGCCCCUCGCGAACGCACCAAACUGACCGCUCAGUCUGUUGAGUGUGUCUUCUUAGGCUACAGUGAUCAGCAUAAGGGCUGUCGUUGUUGGGAUCCUAUCGGUCGUCGGAUGCGUAUCUCUCGAGACGUGACUUUGAUGAGUCUCGUCCUUUCUACCCACGCCCAUCUUCUUCGUCUUUUUUAG
rnacentral:rRNA from 1 species